rnacentral:other from 1 species
AGCGCCCUGCGGUGUGCGUGAUUGUCCCUAAAAGCUUUGAGCCAACACUUACGCUCCGGGAGCCAGAGCCUGGCGACUGAGUGGAAGCCCGGCCAUAUCGGCCGGGAAUCGCGAGGCCGACCAGCGAGGCACCCACCUGCUUCGGCAGGUUCAAAAGCUUGCAGGACACACGGCACGCGCGGGGCGUUC